rnacentral:rRNA from 1 species
UACGUAGGGGGCAAGCGUUGUCCGGAUUUAUUGGGCGUAAAGAGCGUGUAGGCGGCCAGACAAGUCUGCUGUGAAAACUCGAGGCUCAACCUCGAGCUGUCGGUGGAAACUGUCUGGCUAGAGUCCGGAAGAGGAGAGUGGAAUUCCACGUGUAGCGGUGAAAUGCGUAGAGAUGUGGAGGAACACCAGUGGCGAAGGCGACUCUUUGGUCUGUAACUGACGCUGAGGCGCGAAAGCGUGGGGAGCAAACAGG